GUCAUGACCUUAGCCACAGAGAAGACAGCGGGCCAAGCCAUGACAUGGGAUGGAGUUAGUAAUGGGCUUGGGCUUGUGGGAGCGGCUGGGCUAUAAAGGAAGCAGCAGCGAACGACAACGGCAGCGAAUGAAUGAAUCGUAUUCAACCUUCUCAUCCUCUGCUCUCAUUCCUCUCCCCCGGCUUCUACUAUAUCUCAUCUCCUCUUUGCUGAUUUCUCAUCCCAAAUUCCCUUGUAUCCUCUGAAUCUAUACCGAAUAUGGGUGUUGAUUUAUCCAUCUGUUCGAUCUCUGUAUUGAGGUCGUGACAAUUUGGUAAUCAGAGCCCCAAAAUUUCCUCCAAAUUUUGCUCCUAUUGUGUGUUCCUCAACUCUCUCGGCUAGAUUCGUAACAUCCAUUGCCUUGGGUGCGAUUUGCUUCGGUGAAUCGCACAAAAUCCCUGGGCUAGGUUGGAUCGGCUUGGAGUGGAGCAACAACAACAUCCAAACCCUCAGCGUAGAGACAAGAAAACAAUCACCACCCACUUCCUGCCUACCAGGUGUUCGACAAAAUGUCCAGCCAGCAAGAGGUGUUCACUGUCGGCGUUCUCCACGUCACUGUUCACCAUGUGUACUACCCCGUCAGUGAGGAGACGUUGCAUCAGGUGUUUACAAUGUAUGGCGUGGUGAACAUCUCUAUGUUCCAGAGAAUCCACCAUGUCGAGGCGGUGGUUCAAUUCCGAUCAAGAAGCGAGGCAGCACGGGCUCUCGCCAUGCAUGGCCGGUGCAUAUACGAGCGCUCCUGCCUCCUCGACAUCCAGGACGUGUCGCCGGAGUACAACCUGCACUUGUGCUCACUGCUCGAACAGAAGCAGACCACAACUAUGGCCGAGUACACAACAACGUUCUUGGAAUGCGUACAACGCGUACUGGAUAUCAACCCCAACCUGAGCAUCAAGAGCUUCAUCCACCAGUACAUCCUGGGCUUGCGGGGAGAUAUCCAAGAUGUUGUGCGGUUGCGAUCUCCGUCAAGCAUCACCGGUGCUUCGUCCCUUGCACGGAUAAGAGAGGAUGAGAUCGCUGAGGAGGUGGCCAUGGCUGCAGAGAAACCUGACGAUGACCGUAGAGUUCACGUCCUCAUGCCUACGGUGAUAGUCGCGGAUGUCUUCCCCGAGCUGGCUGCCCCAACAGAGUGCGGUGCAGACCAUGGUGUCAUUUCCAUUGACAGCAGCAGCCUUGCUGCAACGACGUCGGUCACAUGUUCGAUGGAGUGCUCGAGUCAUGACGCCACCUUCGACAUCUUCCUUGAGCCCACAGCCCCUACUAUGUGUGAAGGGACCCUCGACAUCGAAGCCAUCAGUGUUGUUGCACCAAUGCCCAUGGCAGGCUCGACCAGUGGUCUGGCAUGUGCUGAUGUCAACAUUCCGGUGGUCGCACCCCUGAUUCUGGGAAAUGUGACCCCAUCGUCUGCAUCUCCUCCAGAGGUUCCACCAACCUCACUGCAGUGGCCAUUUUCCAUCCUUGAACAGGACACCAUGGCGUCGAUAAGAUGUUUGACCCUCUACUUAGACCACAUUGGUGUGUUGACCCCCAUGUACAUACUGGAUGAGAGUGUGAAAAUCAAACAACAAGGACAAGUGUCACGACCAAUGCCAUGGCCUUCGUUCAAAUGUCGUUCGGAACUAGCCAAUCCUCAAGAUCCAUGGACAACAACUCAAGGUAUAUUUGGGAAACUAUCUACAGAUCAGCCAUAUGAGGAUCUCAAAUGUUGUGUUGCCCGUUUGGCCUUGCUUUGUACUAGCUCAUCUGAUGGGAAUUAUUUACAAGUAAUUGCUGCACUGAGAAGUCUCUUAUUUGAGUUCUAUAAUAUUGGGGAGGCUUGGGGUCAUUGGCACUAUGCAUAUAUGCAACAGUGCCGUUCAUCUCAACCAGCAUGUUAUUUGGAGUGCAUGAGGGCUGGUGAUGCUAUAUUGAACAUGGAAUUGACAGCCCAAGUUUUAUUCAAUGCAAUUCCAAUGGAAUUUGUGAGUAAGCAUACUAACGGAGUCUGCGAUUUCUUAAGAGCUUUUGACCAAGAGGAGGAGCUUAAUUCCAUUUCUGAACCGAGCGAACAAGCUACGAGGCUGUGUUAUGUUGAACUGACAUCUUCGGCUUAUUCUUCAUUACAUUUCAUCAAGCCUUGCUGUUUUGGACUAGGUAUGCAGGGGUACAGUGCCAAUGGAAGGCUGUCACCUGACGUGUCAUUUUCUACUACCAACAUAAUGCUUCUUCCAUGAGACACAUUUCAGUUGCAAUCUUGGGCACCACCUUCUGAUGGUAUAGUGGUAAUAGUGGAGUACAAACCAUGGCCAUUGUGGGAAAUCAUUGAUGGUUGUGAGAGCAUUAAUUUCCAUGAGGCUAUGCCUUGUUUUCUGAUGAUAUUUCUAGUGGGUGGACAUCUCUGCACUGAACAAUAUGCUUGUGGUAUCUUGAGUGAAUCUAUCAUAGAGAAGAAGUGAUUUUGUAUUUGUGCAGCAGGUAGUCGAGCCAUGAGAUUAUGUAGAGCUGACAUGGAACCUUUUAGCCAAGCCUACUGUCUUGUUAUUAUGUUUUCACACCUCACACUACAGGACAAGGACACUGACAAUAUUCUCAAUCCUUCUUGUGACGCUGGCUACAACACGGGUUUCACUGAUGUGUUCAUUUGGUUAAAUGUCAGAGUGUUUCUUGCUAUGAUUUGGCUCGGCGUCAGUGGAAAGUUGCAGCGAUGUUCCAUCAAUGUUAUGUUAUUUGGGGCAACAGGCUCGUACUGUCACAAUUUGCCACAGCAGGUGCACCCAACAAUAGCUUCUUGGUCAAAUUUAUGAACCAUUUUAUAUACUGUGUUGAGUUGCCGUUUGAACCUGGAGAUCAUAGGUUAUUGUUGGUUCUUCUUGCCAUUUGCGGCGCAUUCGUUGGAUAUAUUCAUCUGCAUGAGCAUAGAGGAACAUUGACAUAUCAUUUGCCUUGGUGGUAUACGACAUCGCAACUAAUACCGGAAGUUAUGCAAGUAAAAUGGUGUUUCUAUUGGGCUAGAUGUUUCCUCAGAAUUAUGGAAGAGAUUACUCUUAACAGACUAUAGGGUUUACAGAGGAAAGAUAUGCGAAGGAGGGCUACAACUGAUAAGAACGUAUGCAGAGAUGUCGGUUACCAUAUUCUUGUUGGAGCUGACAUUCUGAGUGAUGAACAUUAUUCAACUAUCAAAAAGCGUUAUACAUGUUGGCAGAAUCCAAUCCCCAAUUGGAUGCUCACGGACUGGCAUAUGCUUGAGAUAAAUACCAACAAUAAUGUCGUUCUAGCAGUUUCAGAUGAGAACCAUACACCGUGGAGGUUCGCAGUUGUCCAUUAUACUCUGCUCGUACCUCAUUCCAUUGUUGCUCAUGGAGGGACUGUAUUACAUACCCAGCACUUGGGUCACCCAGCUCGCACGGAUUAUUCAACAUAUAUAUGUGCAACAUGUCAGCAUCUUGGUACACGCAUCCCACUAAGCAUGCUGUUGUGCUAAUGCUCUUGUGUGUCUGUACAUGAUUUGGAGCUAUUCUUCAUCAUCAGUCCAUUCUUUGUUCACAUGGUCAACCUGAAGGACGGAAUAGAUAGUCAGAGUUCUCCAUCAGAUAUGGCAUUGUUAUCUACGCAGCUGAAGUGUGAUGGAACUAUUACCUAGAGUUGUUCGCAUCACAAGUUUCAGGUUGCCUGGACAAACUUUUCUUUGGAACAUUGAGCUGGUCAACUUGUCGAACGAGUACCAGAGCGACACCCUCCAUGUGAUCCAGGUGAUGUCCGCUCCGUCCACAUUGAAAUUCUGAAUGACCUGCAAGUGCCAUGGGAUUCAGGAGUUCAUUCUAUUCUUAUGGCAAGGUCGGCUUGCGGUCAACCGAUUCUCAAGGGGGGAAGAAUGUCAUGACCUUAGCUACAGAGAAGACAGCGGGCCAAGCCAUGACAUGGGAUGGAGUUAGUAAUGGGCUUGGGCUUGUGGGAGCGGCUGGGCUAUAAAGGAAGCAGCAGUGAACGACAACGGCAGCGAAUGAAUGAAUCGUCUUCAACCUUCUCGUCCUCUGCUCUCAUUCCUCUCCCCCGGCUUCUACUAUAUCUCAUCUCCUCUUUGCUGAUUUCUCAUCCCAAAUUCCCUUGUAUCCUCUGAAUCUAUACCGAAUAGGGUGUUGAUUUAUCUAUCUGUUCGAUCUCUGUACUGGGGUCGUGACAGUCCCAUGUUGUUAUCCAUCAUCAGCAACCGGUUUGACUUUGGCGCCACGUCCACUAUGUUGUAUAUUCAAGAACGAAUGCUCAUAUUUAUCAAAAAAGCGAUGUUCAAUUAUUUCCAAAAAUGAUGU
rnacentral:lncRNA from 1 species